rnacentral:rRNA from 1 species
GACGAACGCUGGCGGCGUGCUUAACACAUGCGAGUCGAACGGAAAGGCCCUGCUUUUGUGGGGUGCUCGAGUGGCGAACGGGUGAGUAACACGUGAGUAACCUGCCCUUGACUUUGGGAUAACUUCAGGAAACUGGGGCUAAUACCGGAUAGGAGCUCCUGCUGCAUGGUGGGGGUUGGAAAGUUUCGGCGGUUGAGGAUGGACUCGCGGCUUAUCAGCUUGUUGGUGGGGUAGUGGCUUACCAAGGCUUUGACGGGUAGCCGGCCUGAGAGGGUGACCGGCCACAUUGGGACUGAGAUACGGCCCAGACUCCUACGGGAGGCAGCAGUGGGGAAUAUUGCACAAUGGGCGGAAGCCUGAUGCAGCAACGCCGCGUGCGGGAUGACGGCCUUCGGGUUGUAAACCGCUUUCGCCUGUGACGAAGCGUGAGUGACGGUAAUGGGUAAAGAAGCACCGGCUAACUACGUG